rnacentral:rRNA from 1 species
GACGAACGCUGGCGGCGUGCCUAACACAUGCAAGUCGAGCGGGGUUGAAGCGAGAGGUAACUCGAACUUCUACCUAGCGGCGGACGGGUGAGUAACGCGUGGGCAACCUGCCUCAAGGUCUGGGAUAACAGCCCGAAAGGGCUGCUAAUACUGGGUAUGCUUGUGGCCUCGCAUGGGGCUAUGAGCAAAGGGGAAACCCGCCUUGAGAUGGGCCCGCGUCCCAUCAGCUAGUUGGUGAGGUAACAGCUCACCAAGGCGACGACGGGUAGCCGGCCUGAGAGGGUGACCGGCCACACUGGGACUGAGACACGGCCCAGACUCCUACGGGGGGCAGCAGUGGGGGAUCUUGCACAAUGGGCGAAAGCCUGAUGCAGCGACGCCGCGUGAGCGAAGAAGGCCUCGGUUGUAAGCUCUGUCUGAGGGACGAAGGAAGUGACGGUACCUCCGGAGGAAGCCACGGCUAACUACGUGCCAGCAGCGCGGUAAACUCGUCUCUA